CAUUCACGAGAACGGUGCAGGGUUACUGAGGGAAUACGAACCGCAGCUGCUGAAGAAUCCGAGAUAACACAGUGUACAGUUGGAUGAACACAGCAGGCCAAGCAGCAUCAGAAGAGCAGGAAAGCUGACGUUUCGGGCCUAGAUCCUUCGCUGAGACCAAGAUACCAGCGAUCGUUGCCAAAGCCCUGUUGCCCGUGGAGAAGGUGAUGUUUAACUUUCGUGUCCUGCUGCAGUUUGUAUGAUGAAGGUGCUCCCACAAUGCGGCCAUUUGAGAAGUUACAGAUCAUUCAUCUGGCGAUACUGAAGAGCUAAUGGUGAUAUUACAAGUGGACUUUCAGGUGGGAAGCUCAAUAAUUGUAACACGAAACUGACAGAAUUACUCAAUUCAUCAGCACCUGGAUAUUCGCAUUGUGUAUGCUACCAGGCCUGCUGAGCUUACCGAGCAAAUGACAUUGCAGAGGGCAUUGCAGUCUCCUCAGCUCUUUACCUGGUGUCCAUAGCAGCUAUGGAUCUCAUGAUGGAAACAUAAACCAAGACGUUGUAUGAUUUCUAGUAAAUAUUUUCUAUUUAGUCUUCUGUCCAUCACUUCCCUAGAGGCUGAGAUACUGUUCUGGGGACCUAGGUGUGAACCCAUCUGGAAAUAAGAAUUUGAUGACUGUGAAUCCAUUGUCUUUGUUGGAAAAACCCAUCUGUUCACCGAUGGCCUUUAGGGAAGGAGACUGCCAUUCUUAUCCAGUGAUGUGAUCAUCCCAUGAAUGAAUUUUUAAAAAAAAUUUAAAAAAAACUCCUGCAAAUACAUUUAACUCUGUCUUAAUUUAUUUGACAGCUGACAGUUCAAACUGCUUGAUGGUCACUUUCUCUUUUGAUCAAGUUGUGGCCAUUUCAUGGUUGAAACCAUAGUUAUUCUCGUAUGAACAGUGCAUGCUCUGACAUGCCACUUAUGAACCAGACAUCCACGUUGACCGUAUCCUGAUGCUGUGUACCAUGAAAGCGAAAUUCUUCACCAUCUUAUCGACUUGUGUUGCUAUUUCAGGGAGCUAUGGACUUGAACCUCCUAAACUCCCGAAAACCUUGAGAAUUUCAUCAAACUGACCUCCAAUGGCAGGAAUGGACAGGGUCAGCUUGGAUUGAUGAACAUAAUUCAGGCUCAACAAGUCUAUUGCAGCAUUUGAGAACGUAAUUAGUAGUGAGUGUGGCCACCUCUUUGUACUGUAGUGAUACAGAUUCCCUGAUCCUGAUUGCCCCAAAUGGCUGACUGACAGUGUCAAAGCCCCUGGGCUGAAAUCGAAUGAUUCCUUGGACAUGCUGUGUCAGGAUCUCCUGACUGAAUCCUGUCUCCCUUGCCCUGACUGAGAACUGUUUCCCUGAGACUUGGAGACGUGACCAUUUGGUUGAAAAAAACGCAUUAGUUGCCACAGCUGCUGACCAGGCCUUGACUGACUGCUGGUAAUAACAAUGCUAAGCUGCCUGGCUUAUGCCUGUGAUAAGCAACCAGGCAAGCCAGGAGCACUGUGAGACAUUAGGUUCUAGUUGAGACAUCAAAGUGCCAAAAUGCCAGGGAAAGGCAGAGAUAUUGUGCCAGGCCCUGAGCAGAACAUGUCUCAGGUGCUGAAAAGCAUGUAGAGUUCGGACAGCAAGAAUGUACUUUGUAGACAGGCAAUUCUGCAUCUUGAUGUAGCAUUUUUAUUUCACUCUGGCUCAUUUUGCUAGAUCUGCAAAUAUCUAUUGGUCUGGCUAAUGUGAGAAUUGGCUUUCGGCGUAAUAUGCCACUGACUUGGUCAUUCGCAGUUGUGUCCCACAUCAGUGAGUCAGUAAUCUGAUUAAACUCUCAGGCCUCGACUUGAGAAAAAUGAA